rnacentral:rRNA from 1 species
UACGUAGGGUGCCAGCGUUGUUCGGAAUUACUGGGCGUAAAGGGUGUGUAGGCGGUCUGUUAAGUCAGAUGUGAAAUCCCACAGCUUAACUGUGGAACUGCGUUUGAUACUGGCAGACUAGAGUACGGAAGAGGGAGAUAGAAUUCCGAGUGUAGUGGUGAAAUACGUAGAUAUUCGGAGGAACACCGGUGGCGAAGGCGGUCUCCUAGGCCUGUACUGACGCUGAGGCACGAAAGCACGGGUAG